CUCCCAUUAAUAAAGGGAACAAGGCAAACCUAACGGCAGCUAGAUGCUUCCUCUUUUCUGUGUAAACCAGAUAACGGAGGAUCUCCGCUCUCUCAGCUGUUAUGACUCCGUUUCUGUUCCUGUUAUUUCUCUGGAGCAGCUUCAGACCUGACUGAGGUAACCGUGAACCCUGGAGAUGAUGUCAUUCUGCCAUGUAAGGCUGCUGAUUCCUCCAUCACCACUCUAGGUUGGACCAGACCUGACCUGGAGCCAGAUAUCGUCCUCUAUUACAGCGAUGAACACCUGGAUACAACCUACCAGCAUCCGUCAUUUAACCCUCGUGUUGUCCUGGGGUCAUUCUGACCCCAAAUGAAAUCUUUUGCCCGUCAAAAUGUAUUUUAUUCAUCAAUUGGUCUGAAAAUAAUGGUGAGUGUUUAACACUAUGCUCUUAAUGCCCAAACUAAGUUUGAAGUAAUUUGAUUGAAUGAUGGGUUUUUUACUGAAUGUAAUAUCUUCUGUUGUCCUCUGGGGUCAAAGGGACCCCGCAGCACAAAGUGGUGAAAUGGAGCAAAUAGUCCGAACAUCCUGGCUUACCAAAACCUCUCUGAUCAUGGAUGGUUGAUGGGUGGGCUCAAGCAAUGGUUAGGACAACAACAAGAACAACCAAACAGGUCUUUUCUCCCGGCAGUUGGGGCGUUUCACAGUUUAGUCUGAGAGAGAGUGAGGAGGAAGAAGCUCUAUACUGCACAGGACGCUUGCCAGAUAUUUUUUAAUAUAAAAUCUGAGAUAGAAGAAUAUUUCCAGUAAAAGGAGGAAACAUUGGCGCCGGGAGAGCUCAGUUGGUCGAGCGGGCGCCCAUAUAUAGAGGUUUACUGCUCGAUACAGCAGGCCCAGGUUUGACUCCCUCCUCUCUCUCCACUUUCAUUUCUUCAGCUGUCCUGUCAAUAAAGGCCUAAAAAUGCUCAAAAUAUCUUAAAAAACAAGAAAAAAGGAUGAAACAUUGAUCUGGUCUUCCCUCCCUCCCAGUGACGGAGGAAGCAUGUUGACCGCAGAGAGAGAGACAGGCCACCGUAUAUGCAAGGUCUCAAAUUCAUAACAUAAAUUCCACUUUUGAGCUGUCUUAUUGGCCUUAUAUUUCUAAUGGAAUAAAGAAAAUGGUGUUAAUGUGUUUGAAUGAAGUGGUUAUUAAAGGUGUAAUACAGAAUUAGUUGAAUUAUCCACUAAAUAUUAAUUAAUUAACAGUAAAACCAGAUGGGGUCAGUUUGACCCCAGAGGACAACAGGUGUGAUUAUGGGCUGCCAUUAAAACAAUUAAAAUGAUUUAAGAACUGCAUCCUUACUAAACUCUGACAUAUACCACUCUGUGAUGAGUCCAAUAGUCAAAAUAAUAUUAAAUUAAAAAUAAUUUUUACUCAGAAACAGGGUGUACUUUUAUAUAAACAAGGUCUAUUGGCUCUAAAUUCCAAAACGAAGGGAAACGUGUAGUAAUGGGUUGAACUGAAGUAAGACUAAAGGUGUAACACAGAAUAGAUUGAUAAUUUAUACUUUAUACUUUAAAUAACAGUCAAACCAGGGGGGGUCAUCUUGACCCCAGAGGACAACAGGUGUAAGACAUCCAGGAGGACAUUAGGAGGGUUAAGGACAGGGUGGACCUGGUGGACAGACAGCUGAAGGACGGAGACGUGUCUCUAACUCUGAAGAAUGUGAGCAGACACGACAACGGGACAUACAAGUGUCGAGUUGCACCAGCUGGUUCCUACAUCAACGACUCUAAGCCAAUCAGAAUCGUCCGUCUGCAGGUUCCAGACCCAGCAGGUUCAAACCGAGGACACUCCGAGGAUGGAAACUCCUCUCCUGUAGGUCGAUACCGGGGACUGGCAGCAGGUGUUCUGGUUCUUGUAGCUGUUGCAGUGGUUGGUGUCCUGAUAUAUAAAAGACACAAGAACAACAGAUCAAGACAACCUGCUGCUGCUGAUGAUGAAGCAUCGGGUGAUAAGUUGAUUGCUCUGACGUCCUCUGGGGUCUCCCAUGACGAGAUGGUCCCAGAGAGAGAGAUUUGAUUUGAAUGAACUUUACCUUUAGAGAAAUAGAAUAUUUACUCAAGUAAAAGUACUGUUGCUUGGGGCGACCUCUAGGUCCCCCAGUAGAGCGUGCGCCCCAUGUGGGCUGAGUCCUCGGCAGCGGCCCGGGUUCGAGUCCAACCUG